GACGAACGCUGGCGGCGUGCUUAACACAUGCAAGUCGAACGGAAAGGCCCUGCUUUUGUGGGGUGCUCGAGUGGCGAACGGGUGAGUAACACGUGAGUAACCUGCCCUUGACUUUGGGAUAACUUCAGGAAACUGGGGCUAAUACCGGAUAGGAGCUCCUGCUGCAUGGUGGGGGUUGGAAAGUUUCGGCGGUUGGGGAUGGACUCGCGGCUUAUCAGCUUGUUGGUUGGGUAGUGGCUUACCAAGGCUUUGACGGGUAGCCGGCCUGAGAGGGUGACCGGCCACAUUGGGACUGAGAUACGGACCAGACGGCUACGGGAGGCAGCAGUGGGGAAUAUUGCACAAUGGGCGGAAGCCUGAUGCAGCAACGCCGCGUGCGGGAUGACGGCUUUCGGGGUGUAAACCGCUUUCGCCUGUGACGAAGCGUGAGUGACGGUAAUGGGUAAAGAAGCACCGGCUAACUACGUG
rnacentral:rRNA from 1 species